UCUUUUUGGAGAGUUUGAUCCUGGCUCAGGAUGAACGCUGGCGGCGUGCCUAAUACAUGCAAGUCGAGCGAAUACAAGGGAGCUUGCUCCCAAAGAUUAGCGGCGGACGGGUGAGUAACACGUGGGCAAUCUGCCUGUAAGACUGGGAUAACUUCGGGAAACCGGAGCUAAUACCGGAUAAUAUAGAGAACCGCAUGGUUC
rnacentral:rRNA from 1 species